rnacentral:rRNA from 1 species
UACAGAGGUCCCAAGCGUUGUUCGGAUUCACUGGGCGUAAAGGGUGCGUAGGCGGUCGGGUAAGUCUGAUGUGAAAACCCGAGGCUCAACCUCGGGCCUGCAGUCGAUACGGGCAAACUAGAGUACUGCAGGGGAGACUGGAAUUCCUGGUGUAGCGGUGAAAUGCGCAGAUAUCAGGAGGAACACCGAUGGCGAAGGCAGUUCUGUGGGCAGUAACUGACGCUGAGGAGCGAAAGCGUGGGGAGCGAACAGG